UACGUAGGUGGCGAGCGUUGUCCGGAUUUACUGGGCGUAAAGAGCGCGCAGGCGGCUGGUCAAGUCCGAUGUGAAAGCUCCCGGCUUAACUGGGAAAUUGCAUCGGAAACUGAUCGGCUGGAAGGUGGGAGAGGGUAGCGGAAUUCCCGGUGUAGUGGUGAAAUGCGUAGGUAUCGGGAGGAACACCAGUGGCGAAAGCGGCUACCUGGCCCAUUCUUGACGCUGAGGCGCGAAAGCUAGGGGAGCAAACGGG
rnacentral:rRNA from 1 species